UGCGAAUCCUGACAACGAACGCAAACAAGAAAGACUUCGAAUAAGGAGGGAUCGAAACAGACAAGCAAGAGCCCAAGAAACACCUGAAGAGAAAGAAGUCAGGCUAGCCAAACGCAGAGAAAAGCACAGGGCACUCAAGAUUCAAGGUAACCAUUGCACUGGAUGCCAAUAGAGCAUCCCAGCAACUGAGACGGGACACAGAGACUCCUGAGGCCAGGCAGGCACGCCUACAGCAAAUGGCUGCUUCCACCCAAACCAGCAGAGCUUCAGAUACUCCUGAGGCCAGACAGGCACGCCUACAGCAAAUGGCUGCUUUAACUCAAACCAGCAGAGCCUCGGAGACUCCUGAGGCCAGACAGGCACGCUUGGAACAAGAUA